GGGCGGUUAGCUCAGUCGGUUAGAGCGUCUGAUUUACAUUCAGAAGGUCCAUGGUUCGAAUCCAUGACCGCCCA
rnacentral:tRNA from 1 species